ensembl:lncRNA novel transcript
AGAGGUCCACGAGGCGAGACAGACCCAAAGAGAGAGGCAAGGACGUGGGCGUUGGUCGGUCUUGCGGGGAGGAGGUGCCGUGCUCUCCCCACUUCCUGACCCAGCAGAAAGCGCCCGGGCGUGUCCAGAUAAACCGCGCCUUAAUCGAGGCGCCAUUCCGGCCCGGAACAGGCCAGGCCCAGGGUGCAGAGUGGACACUCCCAGGUGUCCAAGCCGGCGAGCUCGGGUCCCGCAGAACCGGCGGCCCUGGAGACGCCCCGAGGGCAGCCCCGCUGCAGCCUUGCUCGGGUCCCCUAGCCCGGCGCCUCCGCAAACCAACCCACCGCGGGCCGCCGAGCCCCGCUCCGGGAUCCGCCGGCUGCCUCCAUCCCAGAAGAGUGCGCAGAGAAUUAAAUCUAGAUAUUUACAUGUUUAA